GUCAAAAUGUGGGAAACAAAAUCAGAAGCAGCAAAUACAGUCACCUAUGCCAACUGGAUUGAAGAGUCAGCUGCCAAAGGGGAUUGGAAGGUUCUCGAAGAAGAUAAGCUGGAGGAAAUCCCAUGUGCUUUUCUGUUGUGAAAUGUUUUCUGUUAUGGAAUUUGUUGCAAGAUUCUUUUACUUGUUGUAUAAAUAGUAGGCAGAUUAGAUUGUAUAAUAUAUACCACCAGAAAAUCAGAAUUAUUAAGAUGUAUCUUCUACAAAUUUCUAAUUCAG
rnacentral:lncRNA from 1 species